AUGAGCUUAUUCCUAGGAUUCUCUCUCUCUCUCUCUCUCUCUCUCUCUGUGUGUGUGUGUGUGUGUGUGAGAGAGAGAGAGAGAGAGAGAGAGAGAGAGAGAGAGAGAGAGACUAUUGUG
rnacentral:miRNA from 1 species